UUAAAUCUUGAUUAUUAAAAUUAAUCCAUAUUAA
rnacentral:tRNA from 2 species